rnacentral:tRNA from 1 species
GCCUUCGUAGCGUAAUGGUUAGCACACUCGGCGCGUAUUCGAGAGAUCCAGGUUAGAGUCCCGGUGAGGGCA